UUUUUAUAAAUUUUUAUAAAUAAAAUCUGCUCAAUGAAUUUUAAAUAGCCGCAGAAUUUUUACUGUGCUAAGGUAGCAUAAUCACUAGUCUUUUAAUUAAAGACUCGAAUGAACGAUUUAACAUUUAAAUUUCUUUUUUUUAAAUAUAAAGAAAUUUAAUUAAGUGUAAAAAUGCACUUAUUUAAAAAUUAGACGAUAAGACCCUAUUAAACUUUACUAAAGUUUAGCUGGGGAAGCUAAUUAAAUAUUAUUUUAAUUUUUAUUUAAAAAAAAAUAUCCAAAAAAAUUGAUUUACAAGUUACUAUAGGGAUAACAGCAUAAUAUUUUUUAAAAGCUCUUAUUUAAAAAAAAGUUUAUGACCUCGAUGUUGAAUUAAUUUUCUUUUAAAAGCAACUUUUUAAAAAGAAAGUCUGUUCGACUUUUAAAUAAUUACA
rnacentral:rRNA from 1 species